CCUACGGGAGGCAGCAGUGAGGAAUAUUGGUCAAUGGGCGCGAGCCUGAACCAGCCAAGUAGCGUGAAGGAUGACUGCCCUACGGGUUGUAAACUUCUUUUAUAAAGGAAUAAAGUGAGGCACGCGUGUCUUUUUGUAUGUAUUUUAUGAAUAAGGAUCGGCUAACUCCGUGCCAGCAGCCGCGGUAAUACGGAGGAUUCGAGCGUUAUCCGGAUUUAUUGGGUUUAAAGGGUGCGUAGGUGGUUUGUUAAGUUAGUUGUGAAAGUUUGCGGCUCAACCGUAAAAUUGCAUUUGAUACUGGCAGCCUUGAGUACAGUUGAGGUAGGCGGAAUGCGUGGUGUAGCGGUGAAAUGCUUAGAUAUCACAAAGAACUCCGAUUGCGAAGGCAGCCUACUAAGCUACCGCUGACAUUGAUGCUCGAAAGUGUGGGUAUCAAACAGGAUUAGAUACCCGGGUAGUC
rnacentral:rRNA from 1 species